UACAGAGGUCUCAAGCGUUGUUCGGAUCCAUUGGGCGUAAAGGGUGCGUAGGUGGCGCGCUAAGUCAGGUGUGAAAUCUCGGGGCUUAACUCCGAAACUGCAUUUGAUACUGGCGUGCUUGAGGACUGGAGAGGAGACUGGAAUUCAUGGUGUAGCAGUGAAAUGCGUAGAGAUCAUGAGGAAGACCAGUGGCGAAGGCGGGUCUCUGGACAGUUCCUGACGCUGAGGCACGAAGGUCAGGGGAGCAAACGGG
rnacentral:rRNA from 1 species